ACAUGGAUUUUGAAUUUCGAAAUCUAAUGCCAAAUCUCAACUUCAACGUCGUUUCUCCUCAUCGUUCCAAAUCUCUUUCGUUCGUCAUUUGUCCUCAUCUUCUCCGCACGCCGCCACUCCAUUGUUUCCUAGCCUCCGUCGUGGAUCUGCUCAGUGCCGCCGCUGAUCAGCUUCCUGCCGCUGAUAUGUUCUUCACCGCCUCUGAUGUGUUCUUCACCGUCGCUGACGUGUUCUUCACCGCCGCUGGUCUGGCACAGCAGCAAACUAGGUUUUUUGACAUUUUAAUGAGAAAACCAAAGUCAUGGACAAGAUUUGGAUGUGUCAACCAAGAUCUUUUGGCCGGUACUUAGAUGGUUUAAACAAGUUUCUCGACUUUGCAUUUAGUAAUGCAACACAAGGGAACAAAGGGCAAAUGGUGUUGGACUAGUGAGUUUGGGCAUGAGAUCUCUAGUAGCUUUGCGUAUCAUGUAAAUCUCAGUGCGAAAGGAUAUCGUUCUCUAAUAUAUAGUGGAGAUCAUGAUGCAGUUGUUCCUUUCAUGUUGACUCAAGCAUGGAUCAGAGCUCUGAAUUACUCCAUUGUACAAGAUUGGAGGCCAUGGCGCUUCUAAAAGACCAAGUUGCAGGGGUUGAGCACACACAGCACUUGAGUACAAGCCUGAUGAAGGUUAUGCCAUAUUUCGCAGGUGGAUAGCUAUAAAUGACAUCUCCUAGUCAAGAUGAUGAUCUUCCUCCUGAGGAAGCAAACCGGAAGAAAGGUGUAGUGAUUAUGAGGAAAAUUAUUCGAGCUAGAAGUGAAGGUAAAAAUUUAAAUGAAAUGUACAUAUUUUAUGCUUUGGUAUCUUAGAUAUGUUACUUUCUUGAAAAUUAAUAUGUACUUAUUCAUAUAUUAUUAUGCUUCACGGAAUGCCAAAGGUCAACCAAUUGAACACGGAGACACAAAAUUGAUUAGUUAUCUUGGAUCCAUUGUUCAAUCUAAUGUUCCUAUAAUGUGUGAUAAUUAGAAAGAUUCGACUUUGAGUGCCUAUAAGGACAUUUUUCGGAAUGAUAUACAAGUAAAAUAUACUAAUUAUGUUUACUUAUGUCAAAAGUGUGUGUUAUGGUUAGCAUACUUCUUCUAAUAUAUUAUUUUUUGACAACUAACUUUUAAUGUUGGUACAUCUUUCCACAUUAUGUAUCAAAGGUGGAACGUAAGUUGCUUAUGAAUUUUAGAACUAACUUUGCUAAUACUUAUCUAAAGGAUGAGAAUGAAAAUUAUUUAGAUCAUCCUCUUACUCAACUUUGUGAUAAGUAUACAUCAAUGAUUAGUGAAGAUAUUUGAAGAAAGUUUGUUGCAAAACGUAUGAAUACAAGUUUCUAGGUAAUCUAUAAUAUUCAAAUACAACCUAUUUAUUCUUUAAUUCCUCUACUUAUAAUUUGUUUACUAUCUUUUUAUAUAGAAAAAACCCUAAAAAAUAAGGAAAAAGUAUUACACUCUAAUUGUCAUUAUAGGGGCUAAAGUAACAUGUAUGCACGCCUAGAACAAAAAAUGGCAAGUCUAUAUAUAAAUAAAUAAUAUACAACUUGUUGAUAUUGAUUUCUAACUAGUAUGAUUAUUUUUUUUUAAGAAUUAGAUAAAGAAAUUGGGAUCAAAUGUUAGUAGUGUUUUGUGUCAAGAAUUGUGGAAGCAUGCUCGUGUGAGCAAGGUCGGGCAAAAUGAAAAUUAAGAUGUUCAACAAGUUUGGAACAAAUGUGUAAGUAAUAUAUAAUAAUUAUAUAUGUGUGUAUGAUAUGAGAAUAAGUGUGAUAGUUUUUAUUAUUUUAGGUAAUAUUAUCACAAACUAUACAUUCAAAAGAGAUGAGUAAUGCUCAUUUAGACAUUCUUGCUCAAGCAUUGUCUCCUAGAGUAUGUUGGUCAUUAUGUCUCUUAGAGUAUGUUGGUCAUUAUGUCUCUUAGAGUAUGUUGGUCGUGUUAGGGCAAUGAAAUUUGGAAUUAAUCACAAAUUAUUUUCCACCCAAAAAGCAUUAUACACACUAAGAAGCUCAAAUGAAACAUAUGACAAAAAUGAAUGGUAUAGAUAGAGAUUAAUAUUAUUUCACUUUAGAAAAAUGACACAUCAAAUAAUAUAUAACAAUUUGAUAUUGGUGUCAAUAGUGACAAAGAGAAUUGCACAAUUUCAUCAAAUAGUUUUAUUGAGGUAAUUAACUUUUCUACAUAAACUUCAAUAUUAGUUUAAUUUGAUUAUUUUAAAUUUGUUAUAACUUUUCAUAUUUACUCACAUUAGAUUUUCUCUUAUAAUUAGAUUUUAAAUAUUAGAUUUAAUAUUAGUGUAACUUGCUUACUUUAAAUUUGUAAUAACUCUUUACAUUCAGUUUAAAUAUUUUAUCUUAAAAUUAUAUUUUAUAGCGUAGGGGUUCUCAAGUUAUAAAUUAUUUGUAUCAUCACCAGUACUUUGCUUUGCUUGGUUGGCCGUAGGAAAUUGCAUAAAAGUGAUACAUUGCAUGGUAGAUCUAUAUGUAAUGAUGAACAUGUAAAAGUUAGUCUAGAUAUUGUUGUGGAGCCAAAUGUGUUGUUGCAUAUACCUAAUGUUGAUGAUGACACAAUGACAAUAGAAACAAUAGAUACAUUUUCUUUGUCCAAUCAAUCUAGUACAUGUUGAUAUGAUAUGUUUAUAAUAUUAAUUCAUAAUUAUUUAUGAAAAUAUUUUAUCUUAUAUAACUUGUUUAAUUGACAAUGUUUUAGGAUUUCACUCUAUCUAAAAAGAAAAAAAAAACAAUAAUACAAAUGAAUAUAUGACACCUAAAAGAAAAUGCCAAGGAAAAAUGGCUAUUCAACAUAGUGCUUGUAAAGUGAUUCAUCCCAAUCUUUUUGAAUGGUGCAACUAUUGUCUUCAUACAUGAAAUUAAAGCAUACAAAGUUAUUUUUCCCAAUACAAAAUGGAAAAAAAAAGCAUAUUUGGACUAGAUGAACAAUAAGAAAUAAUUAAUGCAUGAAUUAGUGGAGAAAUUAUUGAGUAUGCAUGGCUAAGUACAACUAUAAUUUUUACAUAUAUUAGGUACAAUAUACUAUUUAUUAAUAACUUUAAUCUUUGAUUAAUAGCUAUAAUGAUAUUAGUUUUAUAGAACAACUAAUUUUCUUCCAUAAGAUACUUAUAUCAAACUUUUAUUAAGCCAAAUCAUAAAGAAUUCUUCUUUUCGUCACCUCAAAUAAUAACACAACUAAGAACGUAAGAGAGAAUGCAAAAAUUACUUGGUAUUUUUUUGAUAAUGGGGUGGUGGAAAGUUUGUUGAUAAUGGGUUGACUAAUAAGUUUCUUUAUCAAUCACCCCAUUAUGAACUAAAAUACUAACUAAUUUUUGCAUUUUCUCUUUCAUUGAUAGUUCAUGUUUGGGUGAUAAAAAGAUCUCUUUAUGAUUUGGCUUAAUAAAAGUUUGGUAUAGGUACCUUAUGAAAGGAAAAUUAGUUGUUCUAUAUUAGUAAUAUCAUAAGGGCUACUAAUCAAAUAUAAGCUAAUGAUAAAAAGUAUUAUAUUGUACCUUAUAUAUAUAAAAAUUGUAGUUGCACCUAGUCAUGCUUAAUUAAUAACUUCUCCCAUAAUUUCUGCAUUAACGAUUUUUUUAUGUUCAUCUAGUCCAAAUAUGUCUUUCUCCAUUUCUAUUGGGGAAAGUGACUUUGUAGGCUUUAAUUUCAUGUAUGAAGAGAGGUAGUUGUGUCAUUUUGAGAAAUUAUGAUGAAUCACUUUAUGAGGAGUACGUUGAAUGAUCAUUUUCCCUUGACAUUUUCUUCUAGGUGCGACAAAUUCAUUUGUAUUGUUGAUCUUUUUCUUUUUAGAUAUAGUGGAAUCCUAAAACAUCAUCAAUUAAAUAAGUUAGGUAAUAGAUAAAAUAUUUUCAUAAAUAAUUUUGAAUUAAUAUAGUUGUAUAUACAUACCACAUGAACAACUUGUAAAAGAUUGAUUGGUCAUGUCACAAAUGUACCUAUUGUGUCAUGAUCAACAUUAGGUACAAGCAAUGAUACAUUUGGUUCCACAACAUUAUCUACACUAACUUUUACAUGUCCAUUAGGUAGAGAUAUACCCUGUAGUAUAUCACUUUUAAUGUUAUGCAAUUUUUGGUAACCAAGCAAAGUAAUGGUGAUGAUACAGACAAAUUACAACUUGAGACCCUCUGCAUUAUAAAUAUAAUUAUAAGAAAAUAUUUAAAGUGAUCAAAUGUAGAGAACUAUUGCAAAUUUAAUAUAAGUUACAUUUACAUUAAAUCUAAUAUAGAAAAUAUAUAAUGAUAAAAGAAUAUUAUUGUGAAUAAAUAUGGAUAGCUAUAUCAAAUUUAAAGUAAGCAAAUUAAACUAAUAUUGAAGCUAAUGUACAAAAGUUAGUUACCUUGGGAAAACUAUUUGAUGAAAUUGUGCAAUUCCCUUUGUCACUGUUGACACCAAUAUCAAGUUGUUCUAUAUUAUUUGAUGUGUCCUUUUUCUGAAAUGAAUAAUCUCAUUCUUAAUCUGUUCCAUUCAUGUGUUUCAUUUGAGCGGUCAAUGUAUCACGCUCUUGUUGUGUAUAACGCUUUUUGGGUUGGAAAUAAUCUUUGUGAUUGACUCCAAAUCCCAUUGCCCUAACACGACCAGCAUACUCUAGAAGACAAAGCUUGAGCAAGAAUGUCUGAGCGAGCAUGACUCAUCUUUUCUGAAUUUAUAGUUUGUGAUAGUAUCAUCAAACAUAUCACAAACACAAAUAUAAUUAGUAUAUAUAACUUACACAUUUGUUUCAAACUUGUUGAACAUUUUUAAUUUGCUCAACCUUGUUCAUACGAGUAUGCUUCCACAAUUCUUCAUAGAGAACACUACUAACAUUUGAUCCCAAUUUCUUUAUCUGUUUAAAAAAAUAAUAAUCACAUUAGUUAGAAAUCAAUAGUAGCAACUUGUAUAUUUUUUAUUUGUUUAUAUAUUGACUUACCAUUUCUUAUUCUUGGGAGCAUACCCCUUACGUGAGCCUCUAUAAGGUACUUAGAGUGUGAUGUUCUUUCCCUUUUUUUAGGCUUUUUUCUAUAUAGAAAGAUAAUAAACAAAUGAUAUGGACACUAGUAUAAAUAUAUUUAAAGGAUAAAUAUAUUGUAUUUGAAUAUUAUAGAUUACUUGGAAACUUGUAUCCAUACGUUUUGCAACAAACUCUCUUCAAAUAUCUUCACUAAUUAUUGAUGCAUAUUUCUCACGAGGUUGAGUAAGAGGAUUAUUUAAAUAAUUUUCAUCCUUUAGAUAAGUAUUGGUCAAGCUAGUUCUAAAAUUCCUAAGCAACUUACCUGCCACUUUUAAUACAUAAUCUUGUGAGAUGUAUCAAAAUUUAAAGUUAGCUGUAAAAUAAUUAGUAGAAAGAAGUUUGUCAACCAUAACACAUACCUUAAAAUAAGUAAAUAUAAUUAGUAUUUUUGACUUGGAUAUCAUUCUAAAAAAUGUUCUUAUAGGCACUCAAAGUUGAGUCUUUCCGAUUAUCUUACGUUAUAGGAACAAUGGAUCCAAGAUAACUAAUGAAUUUUGUCCCACUGGGUUUAAUUGGUUGACUAUUUGCAUUCCAUGAAACCUAAUAAUUUGAAUAAGUUCAUGUGUAAACCAACAUUUUCCUCUUUCUAGUCAAAUUUAAAUGCUUAUGUUUCAUAUUGACACAAAAUGAUGGAUUUGUCCAAAUCCCUUCAUCAUGGUCAUCUCUCCUAUACAAGAUAUCAUCUUUUAUUGGAUCAUCAUAUGAUAUCUCAUACAAAAGACUGUCAUUGUGUAAAAUAUACAAUUGAGCUUGUUCCUAAUCUUUCCUUGACAUGGUCACUAUUGUAUUUCCGGUAAUCACUUCUCGUGUGGUUCUCGCCAAGUGUUGAGAUUUGGAAGUCCUAUAAAAUUUAAAAUAAUAAUGUUUAUGAUUGUUAAAUGAAAGUAAAAAAAGUGACGGUGUCAUACUAUUAUGGUCCCACUUCAUAUGCCCUUUAUAAUAUUUUAAACAUGAAGCAUAAAAUAAAAAAAGGGGGUGGAAGUAAAAUUUCAAUGUGCAUGUACUCAUUUAAAGUUCAAAUGACUCUAAGCCAAAUUUUAGUUUGUCCCUUGUACUAGGAUUUUCAUAGUAUUUACAGGGGAUCCGUCGACUUGGGCUUUCUAUAGAAAUAAAUUAGAUAUUUUGUCCUGAGUCGUAUGAUCGGAGUAACUAUUUUACAGGGUAGCAUGUAAAUUUAUGUUUUAAGUUCAUUAUGCCUUUAAGGUGUUUGGUAAAAUGUUUAUAUAAGACGAACUUUAAAGCAGAGUAACUUUAGAAUACAUUGAUCAGUGGUUUUUAUUCUUUAUGUAUAUGUAUAGAAAUAAUAAUAUUUUGGUAGAUUCUUGAGAUGUGAGUGGAUUUAUUACAUUGAUUUUGUAUUAUUUGAUACUUAAACUGUCGGGUUAUAUAUGCACUCAGGUCAUGUCUGACUGUAGGUUUGCUCAGGUUUUUCUUCGAGAUAUUUACAAAUUUGUUAUUAUGUUCUGGAAUGCAUUUUUCUGGAGCUUCCAAUCUCGAAAAAGAAACAAGCCUAAGAAAACUAAUCCAGUUUAGUAUUAUUGAGAA